AGGAUGACAAGAAACCGACUCCUCCAACCCCCAAAAAACCCGGUGCUGACGAUGACUUCAAUUUGGAAGAUGCCCUUGGGGGUGGAGGAAGCAAUGACCCUGCGCCACCCGCCCCACCCAAGCCACGACCUCCUCCAAACCCCAACCAGCCUGGAUCUUCUGGUGGAUUUUCAGAUUCCGACCUCGUUGAUGGGGAUUCAGGUGGAGCAGGUGGUGGAGGUGGCGGUGGCCAUGGAGGCCAGGGUCACGGCAGCGGGGAGCAAGCCGACUCCCCCGGGGUGGUCCCCGGCAUCGUGGGGGCCGUCGUGGUCGCUGUGGCCGGAGCCAUCUCUAGCUUUAUUGCCUACCAGAAAAAGAAGUUGUGUUUCAAAGAGAAUGACGCGUAGAAGAUAUAGGCACGAGCAGAAAACCCUGUGCGGGCUGCGAGAUCUUCCCGUCUAAAGCGAACCUUGGCGUCUGUCCUUUUCUUGUGCUCGAUUGCCACGGAUUUGUGCUUCUCCCAGAGCGGAUUCCGUACCUUGACUUCUGUUGCGUUUUCUCCCUUCUCGACGCAUGGCAGCUUGUUAUGUCGUAGGAAGGCGCGGGUUGCUUCAGAAAAUGACGAGAGAUGCAGAUUUCUUUUUAAUUAAAUCCGACAGGAAGAAAUGGAGUGGGCGGCUUCCAUGUAUUAAUCGGGUUUGUCCCCGUCGAGUCCAUCCUUGCCAGUAACUCAGGCAGGAGGGCACCGGGUGGCCACCACCCUCCCUGCAGUGUCCUGGGGUGAAGCCAGCUCCGCUUAUAAGGUUCCAUCUCUUCACGCCACCGAUGCAAUUUUUAACCCUCCGAUUUCACAGCCCCUGCAUUUUUAGGUUGCAUUUAUCACUGCACUUCCCAUGAAAGCAGUUCAUAACUCUCUCUCUCUCUCUCUCUGGUCAGUUUUUCCAAAUAUGGGAACUUCCCAGUCUCAGGGGUGGAAAAAACCCCACAUAUUUAGGAAUAACCCUCAAAUCUCACCAUCUUCACAUUUUUAAGGUCAAUCGGGAGAAGUGGUGGGCGGCCAGAUCUUGUGAACGGCUGAGAAUCCUUGCAUCCUUGCGCAUCCCUGCGAGCAGGGAACCGUCACCCUCAGGAUGACGUAAAGAUGGGGGCCUGCCGUGGCCCCAAGUGUGUUUUACGCAUAUGCACAAGUAUUUCCCCAGCACAGAGACCGGCCUGAGCCACCAUUGCUGGCAUUGCUCUCACAGCUACGAAUGACGCUGAGCCUAAAAGAAAAACACGUGAAUUGCUUUAUCUUAUCGUGAGAUGCGGCGUGUUGGACCUUCUAAGUUU
rnacentral:lncRNA from 1 species